AAAUGCAAUUAGGAGCAGGACUCAGGAUUCCUGUGGAGUGGACUCAGUUGUCAUUCCCUUGUCAUUACCCCAGUGGGAAUGAGAACUACAAUCCAGAACAACAAUUAAUUCCAGGUGCUUCCUGUUCAGACAAAACUUCAUUACCUUCAAGCUUCGGGCUGGUGGGGAGGAGCUCCCAAUCCCCUUUCAUCACUGCACAUCCGAAUAUUUACAGGAUAUUCAGAACCUGCAGACCUAAUGAUUUGCUUUGUUUCCAUCUGAACUAAAAAGGAACUGCAACCCACUUUAAACAAACAGUUUCCUUGUUUGUAAAACAGGCCCAGAGAGCGUGCGGAGUACUGCGGGAACAAAAGAACAUUGUGAGGCUUGAGAAGACCAUAGCAGUGCACUGGGAUCUGCAUCUUCAGUGAAGUCUCCUUUGAAUGUUGACAUCGACUGGCCAAAUAAUCCUGUCCACUUGACGUCAAAAAAAAAUAAGGCGAGCAGAGCUGGACACAUACUCCUGAAGAGGCCUCACCAAUGUCCUGUACAACCUCAACAUGAUGUCCCAACUCCUAUACUCAAGGGUCUGAGCAAUGAAGGCAAGCAUGCUAAAUGCCUUCUUCACCAACCUGUCUACAGUGGAACCUCAAUUGUCCGGACAAGACUGUUGGGGAGUAUUUCGUUCGGAUAAUCGAUUGUUUGGAUAACCGGAAACAAACGGUAAUUGAUGAAUGUUGGUUAUCUGAACACUUCUCGGUUCUCCAACAAUGCACGCCAUAAUGCCAUUUAACCGAUAACUGAUCUAUCGUAACUAAGCAAUAAUAUGAGUGCUGGGGUUCUCGAAUAUUGCUCGAUUAUCUGGCAAUGCAUGCCAUAAUGCCAUUUAACUGAUAAAUGAAUGCUGAAUUGCCGUUUUUUAUGGGAAUUUGAGAUCUUGUUUGGAUAAUCCGAAAUUUGGAUAAUUGAUGUUCGGAUAAUCAAGGCUCUACUGUAUACGUGAUGCAAAUUUCGAAGCAUCGUGUACCUGAACUCCUAGGCCUCUCUGUUCUACAACACUACCCAAAGGCCCUACUUUUGACUGGAUAAAUCCUGGCUGCUGUGGACAUUUCUCCUGUCAGCCUUAGAGGGCAGGUGCAGCCUUGCUUUUCACCUCUGAUGGUGCGAUGUUCUGUCAGAAUUGGCACCCUCUGUUCCUCAUUCAAGUCUCUGCCUGGAGGCGUGCUUGAACACUUCUGUCUCAGUGACAACAGUGCUCUUCACUGAAUCAAGGAAGGAACUGCCAAAACAUUAUAGUGUAGAUUUCCCAGCCUAGAUGCAGCUGGCAAUCUCAGUACAAAUGUUACUUAAUGUUGUGCUCAAUUUCCAAAUUGAAUUUAAUGUCCAUGUAUCCACUCAAACUAAUUUACAAGAUCACAAAUUUAAGAUCUUCCAUGAAAC